rnacentral:tRNA from 1 species
GGCCCCUUAGUCUAGUGGUUAGGACAGCCGGUUUUGAUCCGGCUAGCGCAGGUUCGAAUCCUGCAGGGGCCU